UACAUGAAGCUGGAAUCGCUAGUAAUCGCGAAUCAGAAUGUCGCGGUGAAUACGUUCCCGGGUCUUGUACACACCGCCCGUCACACCAUGAGAGUUGGGAAUACCCGAAGCCUGUGAGCUAACUGUAAGGAGGCAGCAGUCGAAGGUAGAAUCAAUGAUUGGGGUGAAGUCGUAACAAGGUAGC
rnacentral:rRNA from 1 species